CACGAACCGGACGAACGUUAUUCGGAAUUACUGGGCUUAAAGAGUGCGUAGGCGGCUAAGUAGGUGGGGUGUGAAAGCCCACGGCUCAACCGUGGAAUUGCGCUCCAAACCACGUAGCUAGAGGGAGACAGGGGUAAGCGGAACUGAUGGUGGAGCGGUGAAAUGCGUUGAUAUCAUCAGGAACACCAGUGGCGAAGGCGGCUUACUGGGUCUCUUCUGACGCUGAGGCACGAAAGCUAGGGUAGCGAACAGG
rnacentral:rRNA from 1 species